rnacentral:rRNA from 1 species
GAUGAACGCUGGCGGCGUGCCUAAUACAUGCAAGUCGAGCGAACGGACGAGAAGCUUGCUUCUCUGAUGUUAGCGGCGGACGGGUGAGUAACACGUGGAUAACCUACCUAUAAGACUGGGAUAACUUCGGGAAACCGGAGCUAAUACCGGAUAAUAUUUUGAACCGCAUGGUUCAAAAGUGAAAGACGGUCUUGCUGUCACUUAUAGAUGGAUCCGCGCUGCAUUAGCUAGUUGGUAAGGUAACGGCUUACCAAGGCAACGAUGCAUAGCCGACCUGAGAGGGUGAUCGGCCACACUGGAACUGAGACACGGUCCAGACUCCUACGGGAGGCAGCAGUAGGGAAUCUUCCGCAAUGGGCGAAAGCCUGACGGAGCAACGCCGCGUGAGUGAUGAAGGUCUUCGGAUCGUAAAACUCUGUUAUUAGGGAAGAACAUAUGUGUAAGUAACUGUGCACAUCUUGACGGUACCUAAUCAGAAAGCCACGGCUAACUACGUGCCAGCAGCCGCGGUAAUACGUAGGUGGCAAGCGUUAUCCGGAAUUAUUGGGCGUAAAGCGCGCGUAGGCGGUUUUUUAAGUCUGAUGUGAAAGCCCACGGCUCAACCGUGGAGGGUCAUUGGAAACUGGAAAACUUGAGUGCAGAAGAGGAAAGUGGAAUUCCAUGUGUAGCGGUGAAAUGCGCAGAGAUAUGGAGGAACACCAGUGGCGAAGGCGACUUUCUGGUCUGUAACUGACGCUGAUGUGCGAAAGCGUGGGGAUCAAACAGGAUUAGAUACCCUGGUAGUCCACGCCGUAAACGAUGAGUGCUAAGUGUUAGGGGGUUUCCGCCCCUUAGUGCUGCAGCUAACGCAUUAAGCACUCCGCCUGGGGAGUACGACCGCAAGGUUGAGACUCAAAGGAAUUGACGGGGACCCGCACAAGCGGUGGAGCAUGUGGUUUAAUUCGAAGCAACGCGAAGAACCUUACCAAAUCUUGACAUCCUUUGACAACUCUUGAGAUAGAGCCUUCCCCUUCGGGGGACAAAGUGACAGGUGGUGCAUGGUUGUCGUCAGCUCGUGUCGUGAGAUGUUGGGUUAAGUCCCGCAACGAGCGCAACCCUUAAGCUUAGUUGCCAUCAUUAAGUUGGGCACUCUAAGUUGACUGCCGGUGACAAACCGGAGGAAGGUGGGGAUGACGUCAAAUCAUCAUGCCCCUUAUGAUUUGGGCUACACACGUGCUACAAUGGACAAUACAAAGGGCAGCGAAACCGCGAGGUCAAGCAAAUCCCAUAAAGUUGUUCUCAGUUCGGAUUGUAGUCUGCAACUCGACUACAUGAAGCUGGAAUCGCUAGUAAUCGUAGAUCAGCAUGCUACGGUGAAUACGUUCCCGGGUCU